UCAAAUAUAGGCAUUUGUGGGCCUCCAGACUCCAUGUUCAUAUCCUUGAUGGAACUGUCACACACCAUCAACCGUCUCUGCCCAGAAAACUGACACCAUCUGCAUACAAUUGCUCUUCUUCUGGUAGAAGACUUUUUUCACUUAAAGACAAAACCAGUUGUGCUGGCAAAGCUGGAGAUCCACCUUCAGAAGAAUGAAGUUAGAUCUGUAUUUUUCACCUUGCAUAAAAGUCUAUUUGAAAUGAAUCAAAUACCUUAAUUUAAAACAUGAAAUGCUGAAACUGCAAGGGGAACACUCUCCAAGACAUUCCAAAAAGAACUUCGAAAACACAGAAACUAAGCCUGAGUAUAGCAGAUGGGACCACAUGAAAUUAAAACAGUUCUGCACAGCAAAAGAGACUACCAGCAGAAACACAAAGAGCACACAGUGAGGGAGUAGAUGUUCCCCAACUGCACUUCAGACAGUGGAUACACUAUCCAGAACCUACAAAGAAACUACACACCAAGAAAUAAAACUGCCCAUCGAUAAAUGAGCUAAUGAAAUGAAUGAAUACUUUUCAGGAGAAGAAAUGCAAAUGGAAAAUAACUAUUUUUAAAGUGUUCGAUGUCUCUAGCUGUCUAGUCAUUUGAAGAGAAAUCUCUCUGAUGAGGAGUGUUAGCUACACUUAUCUGUGGGUAUAAGGAUAAGAUUCAAAUAAAGUAAGGAAUUAUGCUGGUCUAGCCAAGUGGCACCAGUAGACUCUUUCCUAAGGUCCACCAUCUCACUAGCCCCAGGAAGCUGCCUACGUUUCCAGUACCAGGCAUGAUUUCCCUCCUGUAGAGUGGGUCCUACAUCCAAUUAGACAGCUGUUGGUUGCCAACAACAAGUGAGUGCCAUUUCUGGUACCUUUACUUGUAUCUUGCCAUGCAGGUAGUUGAUGUGGACUUCCUCUUACCAUGCUUCCUGACUACCCUAGAUGCCCAUUCUCACAGCCAGUACUUGCAUGCUGUCUUUACCUCUCCAGGUGCAGCCUUGGUGCAUUUUCCUUGCUGCUUACACUCAAUUCAUAGCAUCCUUUCAGCAUGAACAACCAUCCAUUUUACACUCUAAGAUAGAUUCAAGAACUAACCUCUGUCCUUCCUUGCGCUUGAAGCCCCUCCUUCCCUCUUAGCCAUCACACUCUUGUAUUUUCUUCAGUCUGAAUGAACCCAGUGUCUGUUUUGUCUACAGCCUCACCCCUGUCUCUAUAUGGUGCUAGAGAAAAUAAUAAAGCUGGACACACUGACCUCACUAUAAAUUUGUGAACUAAAACACAAGCAACCAAUGCUGCCAACCAAACUAGCUCGGUGUCUCUGAACACUCCACACCCUCUGUGUGUGCUUAGGACUCACACAGCAUCAUCACAUGUUCCUUCACUGAGGCUCAGUUUGAACAUCUUCACCUGGGUAUCCAUGAACCAGCUCUGUGUUGCUGUAGUUUCCUUACUCAGUUAAACGUCAUCCUUCAGCC